UACAGAGGGGGCGAGCGUUGUUCGGAAUUACUGGGCGUAAAGGGCGCGUAGGCGGCCCGCUAAGUCGAACGUGAAAUCCCCAGGCUCAACCCGGGAACUGCGUCCGAUACUGGCAGGCUUGAAUUCGGGAGAGGGAUGCGGAAUUCCAGGUGUAGCGGUGAAAUGCGUAGAUAUCAGGAAGAACACCGGUGGCGAAGGCGGCUCGCUGGGCCAGUUCUGACACUCAUCCGCGAAAGCGUGGGGAGCAAACAGG
rnacentral:rRNA from 1 species